rnacentral:rRNA from 1 species
GACGAACGCUGGCGGCGUGCUUAACACAUGCAAGUCGAACGGAAAGGCCCUGCUUUUGUGGGGUGCUCGAGUGGCGAACGGGUGAGUAACACGUGAGUAACCUGCCCUUGACUUUGGGAUAACUUCAGGAAACUGGGGCGAAUACCGGAUAGGAUCUCCUGCUGCAUGGGGUGGGUUGGAAAGUUUCGGCGGUUGGGGAUGGUCUCGCGGCUUAUCAGCUUGUUUGGGGGGUAGGGGCUUACCAAGGCUUUGACGGGUAGCCGGCCUGGGAGGGUGGCCGGCCACCUUGGGACUGCGAUACGGCCCAGACUCCUACGGGAGGCAGCAGUGGGGAAUAUUGCACAAUGGGCGGAAGCCUGAUGCAGCAACGCCGCGUGCGGGAUGACGGCCUUCGGGUUGUAAACCGCUUUCGCCUGUGACGAAGCGUGAGUGACGGUAAUGGGUAAAGAAGCACCGGCUAACUACGUG